rnacentral:rRNA from 2 species
AUUAAUUUGAGAGUUUGAUCCUGGCUCAGGACGAACGCUGGCGGCGUGCCUAAUACAUGCAAGUCGAACGAACUCUGGUAUUGAUUGGUGCUUGCAUCAUGAUUUACAUUUGAGUGAGUGGCGAACUGGUGAGUAACACGUGGGAAACCUGCCCAGAAGCGGGGGAUAACACCUGGAAACAGAUGCUAAUACCGCAUAACAACUUGGACCGCAUGGUCCGAGUUUGAAAGAUGGCUUCGGCUAUCACUUCUGGAUGGUCCCGCGGCGUAUUAGCUAGAUGGUGAGGUAACGGCUCACCAUGGCAAUGAUACGUAGCCGACCUGAGAGGGUAAUCGGCCACAUUGGGACUGAGACACGGCCCAAACUCCUACGGGAGGCAGCAGUAGGGAAUCUUCCACAAUGGACGAAAGUCUGAUGGAGCAACGCCGCGUGAGUGAAGAAGGGUUUCGGCUCGUAAAACUCUGUUGUUAAAGAAGAACAUAUCUGAGAGUAACUGUUCAGGUAUUGACGGUAUUUAACCAGAAAGCCACGGCUAACUACGUGCCAGCAGCCGCGGUAAUACGUAGGUGGCAAGCGUUGUCCGGAUUUAUUGGGCGUAAAGCGAGCGCAGGCGGUUUUUUAAGUCUGAUGUGAAAGCCUUCGGCUCAACCGAAGAAGUGCAUCGGAAACUGGGAAACUUGAGUGCAGAAGAGGACAGUGGAACUCCAUGUGUAGCGGUGAAAUGCGUAGAUAUAUGGAAGAACACCAGUGGCGAAGGCGGCUGUCUGGUCUGUAACUGACGCUGAGGCUCGAAAGUAUGGGUAGCAAACAGGAUUAGAUACCCUGGUAGUCCAUACCGUAAACGAUGAAUGCUAAGUGUUGGAGGGUUUCCGCCCUUCAGUGCUGCAGCUAACGCAUUAAGCAUUCCGCCUGGGGAGUACGGCCGCAAGGCUGAAACUCAAAGGAAUUGACGGGGGCCCGCACAAGCGGUGGAGCAUGUGGUUUAAUUCGAAGCUACGCGAAGAACCUUACCAGGUCUUGACAUACUAUGCAAAUCUAAGAGAUUAGACGUUCCCUUCGGGGACAUGGAUACAGGUGGUGCAUGGUUGUCGUCAGCUCGUGUCGUGAGAUGUUGGGUUAAGUCCCGCAACGAGCGCAACCCUUAUUAUCAGUUGCCAGCAUUAAGUUGGGCACUCUGGUGAGACUGCCGGUGACAAACCGGAGGAAGGUGGGGAUGACGUCAAAUCAUCAUGCCCCUUAUGACCUGGGCUACACACGUGCUACAAUGGAUGGUACAACGAGUUGCGAACUCGCGAGAGUAAGCUAAUCUCUUAAAGCCAUUCUCAGUUCGGAUUGUAGGCUGCAACUCGCCUACAUGAAGUCGGAAUCGCUAGUAAUCGCGGAUCAGCAUGCCGCGGUGAAUACGUUCCCGGGCCUUGUACACACCGCCCGUCACACCAUGAGAGUUUGUAACACCCAAAGUCGGUGGGGUAACCUUUUAGGAACCAGCCGCCUAAGGUGGGACAGAUGAUUAGGGUGAAGUCGUAACAAGGUAGCCGUAGGAGAA